rnacentral:misc_RNA from 1 species
UUUAUUUAUUAUUAUUUUUUUUCUCGUUACUAACAUAAUUUUUUUUUAGAAUAGAAUUUUUUUUUUCCUUUUCUCGUUAGUGCCUUCCUUCCUUGUCCAUGUGAUUGAAGUAAACUAAACCUCAAUCAUUCUCUUGUAACUAUUAUUAAUUUUUUUUUCCCAUUUUGUUAUUGGCUCACCACCACCUUCCAAAAUAAACUUUUUGAAUAAAAGCUAAUCUAUAUAUUUAUCUUCACAUUUAUCACAAUUUAAAUUUUUAAUUUUUUUACACUAUUAAAUAAAAAAUUUAUGUUUACUAUUUUUUAAUUGAUUUAUGUGUAUUAGGA